CGCUGGCGGCGUGCUUAACACAUGCAAGUCGAAUGAGAAGAGAUGAGAAGCUUGCUUCUUAUUGAUUCGAGUGGCAAACGGGUGAGUAACGCGUGAGGAACCUGCCUUUCAGUGGGGGACAACAGUUGGAAACGACUGCUAAUACCGCAUAAUGUAUUCUGACCGCAUGAUCGGAAUACCAAAGAUUUAUUGCUGAAAGAUGGCCUCGCGUCUGAUUAGCUAGUUGGAGGGGUAACGGCCCACCAAGGCGACGAUCAGUAGCCGGUCUGAGAGGAUGAACGGCCACAUUGGGACUGAGACACGGCCCAGACUCCUACGGGAGGCAGCAGUGGGGAAUCUUCCGCAAUGGGCGAAAGCCUGACGGAGCAACGCCGCGUGAGUGAAGAAGGUCUUCGGAUCGUAAAGCUCUGUUGUCGGGGACGAAUGUUGAGGCCUAGAAUAUAGGUUUCAAAUGACGGUACCUGACGAGGAAGCCACGGCUAACUACGUG
rnacentral:rRNA from 1 species